GACCUGUUAGGUUAAUUAAACUAUAUAAUUUGCUGUUAUAAGAUUAGGGGUUG
rnacentral:tRNA from 1 species